UGACCGGCCACCAUGCUUUGCUGCCUAAACUGCGCUUGAGAAGUACAUGUACAAACAAGGUAGGAAAAACUGCCUUGCCGUCACCGCAGCUCCAACAGGCCAGCAGAUCCCCGGCCAGCUCACGGUGACCUUUGGGAAAUACAAAGGCAAGACCUUCAUGUGGCUUACGGAGGAAGAUGUCGGCUAUGUCAAGUAUCUCCUCGAUGGCCACGUGAAGGAGAGGCGACGACAGAAGGGAAGGUGCGACACCAAAACUGGGGAGUGGAGGCUGAAGGAGCAGCUUCUACGCUACGUGGAUAUGUUCCCUCCGGUGUCAUGCCACUUGGAGCAGAACAUCGACCGGGCCAUCUGCGGGCAUGGCCGCUUCCGGUCCUUCACAUUCGAGGAUAUGUGGCAGUUUUAUGACUUCUCCAAGCUCAUCCGUAACGAUCUCCAGGCCGAAAGCGCAGAAGAAUGGAAGAUGGCCCAGGAAGCCUUCUGCUUUGUGCGUCAGUGGCUACUGAUGACGGAGUAGGACAUCAAUGUCACGUUAAGAGAUUUCGAUUGUACAUCCUCACAAAGGAGGAGGAGCGAGCUAAAGGCAAAGUUGCACCAGCUACGCCCCUCACGUCAGCUUGUGCAUCAGCAUUAGCAGCAUUAUCAACAUGACCUGCUGUAGCAAAUACACCAUCAUCAGCAGCGGCAGUAGCAGCAGCACAACAACAAGCACCACCACCACAAGGUGAUGAUGAAGACUGGCAAUGUAAAAUACUACGCGCCCGGGCGCUUUGUGGCCAAUCCGCACAGGGUCAAAAAAAAUAUUCCAAAAAAAACCAAACAAACAAAAACUACAAGGUCAAGGCGUCCACGUCCAAAGGACUUUCUGGCAGGUCUUUUGAAAACUUUGUAAAUUUUAAGGAGGCGGUCAAUGACCUUGUAAAAUAAAACACAUUGAUAUGUACUUCAUGUCUCAGCUACUUUUUACACACACAAAUAUGCAGUAUGUUCGGCAUAGCAUAUAGUCCUGUAUAUUGUGCACUUUCCCAAUGAGUGCAGACAGAAAAUUAAAAACCUAGUCCUUAUUUCUCAACACUUCAAUAUCUGCAAAACACUUGCUUAUCAUUAAACUUAUUUAAGACUCAAUACAGGCUGCUUAACUUUUACUGUGUACUAUAGCUCCUUUAUUGAAAUACAAGAAAAAAACUGGAAUUUGAGUGUUAUAACAAAUACAUUUAAAGCAUAGAGAUUGGGAAAAGUCCUAAUGCCCUUAAUUGAAAGUGGAGAAAAAAUAGGCCAAGACAACACAACAGCUAAAACGCAGUAAUGAUGAAAUCUAUAAUGCUGCGCUUCGGACUACGACGUCACUUGAAGGAAACAACGUCAAACUUUGGUCCCGCCCUCCCGCAGCCUCUGAACAGAUGCUCAACCACCCUGCGGAAUGGAAAGAUGCCAAGACCACCCAGAGGUAACUUGUUACCUGUUGGGCAGAAUGACCUCGUGAAUGAAAAUUUAAAACCUAGUGACUUACUUCUAAUGGAAUACUAGUUUCUUAACACUUGUAUAUCUGAUUAACACUUGCAUAUUGCAGUUUGCUAUUGGCGUAGUUCAGGAGUCAGCUAUCUUAUUUAUUUCAACAUCAUCCUUCGUACACUGCUUAGUUUAAAUUUAUUUUUAGGUAGUAGUAGUGUAUAUUAUUUAUUUAUGUAUUGACAUUAAUUUAUUGUGUGAUGCACUGAUAGGGUGUUGCUAUUUUUAAUGUCAUUGUACUAUUUGAAUGACAAAGCCUAUUCUAUUCUAACAUUCAAACAGCCGUAUUCAACCGCCUGCAACUACCACAGAAAAGACAACACGCACAAAUUGACCUAAAAUAUGAAUGAAUCAGCUCAUCUGUGAAUACGUAUUUUAUAUAACAAACAAGGCAUUUAGGAUUCUUUUACAUUGGCCAAAAACACACUUCCUUAAAAUAAAUUCCUAUAUGUAAUCUUUAAAAAGCUUUGAAAUGUCAUAAAUAUUCUUAAUUCCAGAAUAAAUAUGGUUCAAAACAUUAUUUGAAAGCAAUUUUUUUUUAUUUAGGUAAAAAAUGAACAACUUUUAGAUGUAUGUGCUUAAUAAGAACAAAUGGCAAUAUUUACUGAAGUAAGUAAGUGGAAUAAUCUCACAUUCAUCUGUUAAAUAGUCUUUAACGGGCAAAACAUGAUGGAGAAAAUGAUUUGACUAGACUAUGUGGGCCUAAAGUGCAGUAAGCAACCGGAAUUAGUGCUCAUUGUUUAAAUACACUUUAAACUCAUUCAUAAACUGUUUUACAAAAAACUCACAGCUGCCACCCUGGAGGGGAUGUUCAAUUGGAGUGGGUUCGGUCACACACAGAUUGCAGACCGGAAGGAGUACUGGCCAAUCAGAGCAGGGUUGGGGUUCCACCCCACAGUCUGGACUGAUGACCAAUCAGAGAGGGCGUAUUUAAUUGUAGGGCAGAAUUGAUACAAAUCAGUCAACGUUUCGCGAUUUGAAGACAGAGGCCGCAUCGCGCUCGACCUUUGACCCUUGACUCUAAAGUUUGGCCCCGGACCUCAACGUUGAGCGCAGGUGUCGCUAGAGUUCGAUUGCACUUCACGUGGGA